rnacentral:rRNA from 1 species
CUAUCUACAGGCUUAACACAUGCAAGUCGAGGGGCAGCAUGGUCUUAGCUUGCUAAGGCCGAUGGCGACCGGCGCACGGGUGAGUAACACGUAUCCAACCUGCCGUCUACUCUUGGACAGCCUUCUGAAAGGAAGAUUAAUACAAGAUGGCAUCAUGAGUCCGCAUGUUCACAUGAUUAAAGGUAUUCCGGUAGACGAUGGGGAUGCGUUCCAUUAGAUAGUAGGCGGGGUAACGGCCCACCUAGUCUUCGAUGGAUAGGGGUUCUGAGAGGAAGGUCCCCCACAUUGGAACUGAGACACGGUCCAAACUCCUACGGGAGGCAGCAGUGAGGAAUAUUGGUCAAUGGGCGAGAGCCUGAACCAGCCAAGUAGCGUGAAGGAUGACUGCCCUAUGGGUUGUAAACUUCUUUUAUAAAGGAAUAAAGUCGGGUAUGGAUACCCGUUUGCAUGUACUUUAUGAAUAAGGAUCGGCUAACUCCGUGCCAGCAGCCGCGGUAAUACGGAGGAUCCGAGCGUUAUCCGGAUUUAUUGGGUUUAAAGGGAGCGUAGAUGGAUGUUUAAGUCAGUUGUGAAAGUUUGCGGCUCAACCGUAAAAUUGCAGUUGAUACUGGAUAUCUUGAGUGCAGUUGAGGCAGGCGGAAUUCGUGGUGUAGCGGUGAAAUGCUUAGAUAUCACGAAGAACUCCGAUUGCGAAGGCAGCCUGCUAAGCUGCAACUGACAUUGAGGCUCGAAAGUGUGGGUAUCAAACAGGAUUAGAUACCCUGGUAGUCCACACGAUAAACGAUGAAUACUCGCUGUUUGCGAUAUACUGCAAGCGGCCAAGCGAAAGCGUUAAGUAUUCCACCUGGGGAGUACGCCGGCAACGGUGAAACUCAAAGGAAUUGACGGGGGCCCGCACAAGCGGAGGAACAUGUGGUUUAAUUCGAUGAUACGCGAGGAACCUUACCCGGGCUUAAAUUGCAGAUGAAUUACGGUGAAAGCCGUAAGCCGCAAGGCAUCUGUGAAGGUGCUGCAUGGUUGUCGUCAGCUCGUGCCGUGAGGUGUCGGCUUAAGUGCCAUAACGAGCGCAACCCUUGUUGUCAGUUACUAACAGGUUCCGCUGAGGACUCUGACAAGACUGCCAUCGUAAGAUGUGAGGAAGGUGGGGAUGACGUCAAAUCAGCACGGCCCUUACGUCCGGGGCUACACACGUGUUACAAUGGGGGGUACAGAGGGCCGCUACCACGCGAGUGGAUGCCAAUCCCCAAAACCUCUCUCAGUUCGGACUGGAGUCUGCAACCCGACUCCACGAAGCUGGAUUCGCUAGUAAUCGCGCAUCAGCCACGGCGCGGUGAAUACGUUCCCGGGCCUUGUACACACCGCCCGUCAAGCCAUGGGAGCCGGGGGUACCUGAAGUGCGUAACCGCGAGGAGCGCCCUAGGGUAAAACUGGUGACUGGGGCUAAGU